rnacentral:rRNA from 1 species
AAAAAUUGACACCGUAACUUCGGGAGAAGGUGUGCCGCUGGCGGUUAGUGACUUCGCGUCACGAAGCUGUCGGUGGUCGCAGUGAAAUGGCGGUUGUGACUGUUUACUAAAAACACAGGACUCUGCGAAGUCGUGAGACGACGUAUAGGGUCUGAUGCCUGCCCGGUGCUGGAAGGUUAAGGGGAUAUGUCAGCGCAAGCGAAGCAUUGAACCGAAGCCCCAGUAAACGGCGGCCGUAACUAUAACGGUCCUAAGGUAGCGAAAUUCCUUGUCGGGUAAGUUCCGACCUGCACGAGGGCAUAACAACAUCCGCACUGUCUCGACCAGGGACUCAGCGAAAUUACAUUGGGGGUGAAGAUGCCCUCUACCCGCGGAAAGACGGAAAGACCCCAUGAACCUUUACUGCAACUUGGCAGUGAUUUUCGGGUUGUUCUGCGUAGGAUAGGUGGGAGGCUUUGAAGCCGGGCUUCCGGGUUCGGCAGAGCCAACGUUGAAAUACCACCCUGAAUAAUCUGGAAAUCUAACCUGCGCCCAUGAUCUGGGCGAGGGACACUGCCUGGUGGGCAGUUUGACUGGGGCGGUCGCCUCCUAAAUUGUAACGGAGGCGUGCGACGGUUCCCUCAGGCUGAUUGGAAACCAGCCGUAGAGUGCAAACGCAUAAGGGAGCUUUACUGCGAGACUGACAAGUCGAACAGUUGCGAAAGCAGGUGUUAGUGAUCCGGUGGUACCACAUGGAAGGGCCAUCGCUCAUCGGAUAAAAGGUACUCUGGGGAUAACAGGCUGAUCGCGCCUGAGAGUUCACAUCGGCGGCGCGGUUUGGCACCUCGAUGUCGGCUCAUCGCAUCCUGGGGCUGGAGCAGGUCCCAAGGGUUUGGCUGUUCGCCAAUUAAAGCGGUACGCGAGCUGGGUUUAAAACGUCGUGAGACAGUUUGGUCCCUAUCUUCCGUGGGCGCAGGACACUUGAGAGGAGCUAUCCAUAGCACGAGAGGACCUGGAUGGACGAACCUCUGGUGCUCCGGUUGUCACGCCAGUGGCAUAGCCGGGUAGCCAUGUUCGGAACAGAUAACCGCUGAAGGCAUAUAAGCGGGAAGCUGGCCUCAAGACUAGGUGUCCCUGACGCAAGUCACUAAAGGCCCCUCGAAGACUACGAGGUUGAUAGGCUCGGUGUGGAAGCGCUGCGAGGCGUGGAGCUAACGAGUACUAAUAGGCCGUGCGACUCGACCCC